GCUGGCUGACAUUUUCCUGCCCGGAAGGAUGCAUGGCCCGGGGUCUCCUGCACCUGAGGGGAAGAAUUGGAGGCGAGUCACAGAGCGCAGUGAAGGAAGCAAGUUUAUUGGAAUCUACUCCGUUAGAGAGUGCAAGUCCUCAGACUGCAGGAGGAGGAACUCCCGUCCUUCGGUAGUGUCACUACUUAGAGGCAGCUGUGAGGAGCUGUGAUUAAUCGUGGAAUGUGCUGAUGUGCCCACUAAAGAGCUUUGCCCUUGGAGUCCAGGCUGGAGUGCAAUGAUGAAAUCUCAGCUGACUGCAACUUCUGCCUCCCGGGUUCAAGUGAUUCUCCUGCCUCAGCCUCCCAAGUAACUGAGAUUACAGGUGCCCACACCCGGGUAAUUUUUGUAUUUUUAGUAGAGACAGGGUUUCUCCAUGUCGGUCAGGCUGGUCUCGAACUCCUGACCUCAGGUGAUCCACCUACCUCAGCCUCCCAAAGUGCUGGGGUUACAGGCAUGAGCCACCGUGCCCGGCCACCAUUCUAAUUUCUUAAUCUUGUCUUCUUUCUCUGGCUUCAGUGGUAGAUAUUUAUUAACCAGUUUAAACAUGAGUCAUUAUUUAUAUCAAAUGUUUGGAUGUAUAACGUAAAAUGAACCUUAAUCUCUGUCAAAAAAGAUACUACUGGGAGCAUCGUUUGGCUGGGAGUCAAGAUGAGAUUGAGCUACUUUAUGGGUGUGGAAUGCCAAGUCAGAGAGAUUUGAAUAAGUAACACUUCAGCAAUAUGAGAUCUGGACAGCAUCCAGGAGCCAAGGUCCAAGAUGCUAAUAGGAGUGAUGUAGCUGUCCCUGAACAAAGGUUUGCCACAGUUUACGAGCCUCAGAGGUUAAGAUGCAAACCAGAACAAUGCUAUUGGAUGUGCAAUCCAUGAUGUUUCAUGGGGAGGUGGGUAGAUUUGGGCAACCUUGCCUUCAGUUUACUCCUACUAGCAUCAGGCUCUGUCCACCUGAUCAGCAGAGGCUAUAUGGUUCUAUUUUGUGAAAAGAUCAAGUUGGAAAUGGAGGAGUAGAGGAGAAGGUUGGAAAUCAGAAUCCUCCCACAUGUAUUCUUCCCUCCAUUGAGACAUUUUAUUUGUAUAUAUUUAUUCCUGAAAAAAAAAAAAAAAAAAGAGUCCCAGGAUUUUUUCUCCUGUGUUUUUGUCUUGUUUCUUCUCGGUCCAUGAUGCCAGUUGAGGUCAUCAGUACAGCGAAACCAAACUGGUGAGAUGGGAACAAAUUAUUCUGUCACUUUUCUAGAUCUUUUUAUUUAUUUUUUUAUUUAUUUUUUGAGAUGGAGUCUCGCUCUUGUUGCCCAGUCUGGAGUGCAAUGGCGAGCCUGGGUUCAAGACCAGCCUGGGUAACAUGGCGAAACCCCUUCUCUACCAAAAAAAUACAGUAUUUAGCUGGGCCUGGUGCAUGCCUGUAGUCCCAGCUACCUGAGAGGCUGAGGUGGGAAGAUCGCUUGAGCCCAGGAGGUCAAGGCUGCAAUGGGCUGAGAUCACGCCACUCCAGCCUAGGCAACAGAGUGAGGCCUUGUCAAAAAAAAAAAAGAGAGAGAGAGAGAUACAAGCCUUCAGAGACCCUCAUAUUAACUUCAUGGUAAAUCUGCCUCUGCUCACCCCUCCCACCUGUAGCAACUAAUAUCUUCAUUUCCAGAUUUACUCUGAAAAAACUGUGCAACUGCUUCACAUGUUUCCUCUUGAUUCACUAAUUUGUAACUCACUUACUGAAACUCUGAUGAAAGAAUUGAGUCAAAAAAUAAAUAGACCUCCUUCCCAGCCCUGGCUUGUUCAGAGCAUCUACUACAGAGGAGUCUUAAGGGUUUUGUAUGCUUAGAGUUGAGAGACCAAAUAGCUCCUGAAAACUGUAGCUAGAGGAAAUGCCAUAUGGAGACAGGCCACAAGGAGAACUCAAGCCCCUGUAAACCAAAAAUGAAAUAUUCUAAGCCCCCAAUUUACUAAACAGAUUCAACCUCCCACUUCAGCCUCCCAAAUAGCUGGGAUUACAGGCGCAUGCAACCAUGCCCGGCAAAUUUUUGUGUUUUUUGUAGAGAUGGGGUUUCGCCAUGUUGGCCAGGCUGGUCUUGAACUCCUGACUUCAAGUGAUCUGUCCACCUCACCCUCCCAAAGUGCUGGGAUUAGUGAGCCACUGCAACAGCCCUCUAACACUUAUUUCUGAAGUUUUUUUUCUUCCCUCCUUCUCGGAAGCCCCUUCCUCCCUCUCUUGUUGCCUUAAGGUACCUUCACCCUGGCUAGGCCCUAUUGUUCUUUUAUCGGUUUUUUGUUUGUUUCUUUAGCCUACAUAUGCUCUUCCACCUGGGUUAUACAAAUGCAAAGUACACCCUAGUUCCAUGCUGGGCCUUAUUAUUAACAAGAACUUUCUGAAUCUCUUAAGAUGUAGUGAAAGCAGAUAUACAUAAACUAUGUUGAACUAAACUGUAUUUUCUUUUUUUUAUUUCACUUUAAAAAUUUAUUUUCAUACCAAAAAAAUCAUUCAAAGACAGUAUUAAAAAGGAUGACAAAAUACAUAAAAUUGGCAGAUGUCUUACACUAAAAUAAAGUUGGUUUUCCCAGAUCUG
rnacentral:lncRNA from 1 species